rnacentral:rRNA from 1 species
AUUGAACGCUGGCGGCAGGCCUAACACCUGCAAGUCGAACGAGUGGCGGACGGGUGAGUAAUGUCUGGGAACCUGCCUGAUGGAGGGGGAUAACUACUGGAAACGGUCGCUAAUACCGCAUACCAUCUGCUGUUCCCCGAGAGGAUUAGCUUGUUGGUGGGGUAACGGCUCACCAAGGCGACGAUCCCUAGCUGGUCUGAGAGGAUGACCAGCCACACAGGAAAGGAGACACGGUCCAGACUCCGACGGGAGGCAGCAGGGGGGAAAAUUGCACAAUGGGCGCAAGCCUGAUGCAGCCAUGCCGCGUGUAUGAAGAAGGCGUGCGGGUUGGAAAGGACUUUCAGCGGGGAGGCGUUACCCGCAGAAGAAGCACCGGCUAACUCCGUGCCAGCAGCCGCGGUAAUAC